ensembl:lncRNA
GGAGAGUGUUAAUAUCUCUCGGGAGGGCAAAUGGCAGAAUCUGUCCAGACAGUUAAUAUAUACAGUAUCCUGGCACAGUCACGCUUCUUGGAUUUUAGGGUCUCAGAGCUCAGCCCCUUUCCACCAGAAAGGUCUAAAAGGCCAGGUGUGCAGCUUCCUGUCCUUAAGCCUGUUUCCUCCAGCAAGAGGAGCUCAUAAAAGACCUCACCUCACAGGGGGUUGAGGGCAUGAAUGGGUGGCAUAUGCUCAGCCAGGGCCUCCCACACUGUGAGGAUGGAACGGCGAGAACUGUCAUCACUGCUCUUUCUUGGCUUGGAUGUGGCCAUUUUUGGCAGUGUCCCUGGACUUGGACGCUGAGCCGCUCAGCGUGUGGACACUCCCGCACAGCUGUGCAUGGCAUAUGGACUUUCCAGGGCAAAAGGUCAAAUCAGAGCUGCAGUUGCAGCCUAUGCCAUAGCCAUGGCAACACUGGAUCUGAGCUGCAGCUGCAAAUUGUGCCACAGCUUGAAGAAAUGCAGGAGCCCUAACCCACUGAGUGAGGCCAGGAAUUGGAACAACAUCCUUACAGAGACAGCAUUGGGUCCUUUUUUAAUUUUGUUUUUAUUUAUUUAUUUUGCUUUUUAGGGCUGCACCCACGGUAUAUGGAAGUUCCCAGGCUAGAGGUUGAAUUGGAGCUACAGCUGCUAGCCCAUACCACAGGCACAGCAACUCAGGAUCCAAGCCAUCUCUCGGUAACACCGGAUCAUUAACCCUGAGCAAGGCCAGGGAUCGAACUUACAUCCUCAUGGAUCCUAUUCGGGUUCGUUAACCACUAAGCCAUGAAGGGAACUCCCCAACAUUGGGUCUUUAACUAGCUGAGCCACAACAGGAACUCCUAAAAUAAAAGGUUCUUUUUAGAGCCACACUGGAGGCAUAUGGAAAUCUCUGGGCUAGGGGUUGAAUCAGAGCUGUAGCUGCCACCCUAUGCCACAGCCACAGCAAUGAGGGAUCUGAGCCAAGUCUGUGACCUACGCCACAGGUCACAGCAAUGCUGGGUCCUUAAAUCCACUGAGCGGGGCCAGGGAUCGAAACUGCAUCCUCAUGGAUCCUAGUCAGGUUUGUUACUGCUGAGUUAUGACAAAAACUCUGUAAAAUAUAGAUUUGACCUGAAUGUUCCCCUCUUAAAAUCCUUCCCUGGCUCCCCAGUAUCUACAGGGUAAAGUCCAAACCCUUUCUCUCCAAUCCAAUCUGAUCUGGCCCUAUGGGCAUCUCUACCUACUUUGUACAAAUUUCCAACCAGCAAUGGUGCUGGGCUUUGUAUAUGAUAUUUCCUGUGCAUGAAGUCCCCAGCCCUUUCCCUCUCCUUUGUUAGCUGAUCUGCCUGCAGUGCUCAGAAAAAUAUCAACUGCUCUAACCAUUGCAUUAGCCCAGCUGCCAAAAACAGGGCAGGCAUUGCAGUUAAACCUGAGUUUGAAUCUCAGCUCUCCUAUGUACAAUUGUGGGACCCUGGGGAACUCACUGCAUCUCUCUAAGCCUCACUGGACUCAACUGUAAGAUGGGGAUAAUAAUACCUAACUCACAGGAUCUUAGAAAGGGUUAGAGGAGUUCCCCGUCAUGUCUCAGUGAUUAACAAAUCCAACAAACAUCCAUGAGGACGUGGCUUCGAUCCCUGACCUCGCUCAGUGGGUUAAGGAUCUAGCGUUGCCGUGAGCUGAGGUGUAGGUCACAGACACAGCUCAGAUCCAUUCCCUCUGCCCUUUAGAAGGAACAGAGACAAAUUUAUGCCACUCAUGGGACCCUUUCUGAAGACCUUGCCUUCUCUGGGAGUCACUGAAGCCUAGUGGACAAAGAGGGAAAGCCCAUCCUGCAGACCAUGUGCAGGCCAGAACCGAAGCUAUCUAGGUGGGAACCCAGAACUCUCCUCUACCUCUGAGUCUCAGCUUGAUGGCAAAAGAAGAAUGAAAAAAUAAAAUAAGAAUAACUCCUACCUCACAGGUUUGUUAGAGGAUUAAACAACACAACUUGUGUUAGUUGCCUAAUAAAUGUUCCUUCUGCCAA